rnacentral:rRNA from 1 species
UACGUAGGUGGCAAGCGUUGUCCGGAAUUAUUGGGCGUAAAGCGCGCGCAGGCGGUCCUUUAAGUCUGAUGUGAAAGCCCACGGCUCAACCGUGGAGGGUCAUUGGAAACUGGGGGACUUGAGUGCAGGAGAGAAGAGUGGAAUUCCACGUGUAGCGGUGAAAUGCGUAGAGAUGUGGAGGAACACCAGUGGCGAAAGCGACUUUCUGGUCCUUAACUGACGCUGAGGCGCGAAAGCAUGGGGAGCGAACGGG